GUGCCCCCCCCUCGGUAAUACGAAGGGCCCGAGCGUUGCGCGGAAUCAUUGGGCUUAAAGCGUGCGUAGGCGGACUCAUAAGCACUUUGUGAAAUCCCUCGGCUCAACCGGGGAACUGCUUGGUGAACUGUGAGUCUUGGGGCAAGUAGGGGCUGUCGGAACGAUAGGUGGAGCGGUGAAAUGCGUUGAUAUCUAUCGGAACGCCAAAGGCGAAGGCAGGCAGCUGGGCUUGUUCUGACGCUCAGGCACGAAAGCGUGGGGAGCGAACGGGAUUAGAUACCCCGGUAGUCCACGCCGUAAACGAUGUGCACUAGGUCGAGGAGGCUCUGACGCUAUUCUCGGCCGAAGCAAAAGUGUUAAGUGCACCGCCUGGGGAGUACGGUCGCAAGGCUAAAACUCAAAGGAAUUGACGGGGGCUCACACAAGCGGUGGAGCAUGUGGCUUAAUUCGAAGCAACGCGAAGAACCUUACCUGGGUUUGACAAUGCAGGGAUUAGCCCGGUGAAAGUCCGGGUGACGCCCUUCGGGUUGGAACCUGCACAGGUGCUGCAUGGGCUUGUCGUCAGCUCGUGCCGUGAGGUGUUAGGUUAAGUCCUUUAACGAGCGAAACCCCUGUCGUUAGUUGCCAGCGCGUUAUGGCGGGGAUUCUAACGAGACUGCCGGCGUCAAGUCGGAGGGAGGUGGGGAUGACGUCAAGUCCGCAUGGCCUUUAUGUCCAGGGAUGCACACGUGCUACAAUGGUCGGUACAGAACGAAGCAAUACCGCGAGGUGGAGCAAAUCGUGAAAGCCGGCCCCAGUUCAGAUUGCAGGCUGCGAUUCGCCUGCAUGAAGUCGGAAUCGCUAGUAAUCGCGGAUCAGCACGCCGCGGUGAAUACGUUCCUGAGCCUUGUACACACCGCCCGUCAAGUCAUGGAAGCUGGCAGCGCCCGAAGUCGCCGCGAUUCAGCGGUGCCCACGGCGAGGCUGGUGACUGGGACUAAGUCGUAACAAGGUAACC
rnacentral:rRNA from 1 species